rnacentral:rRNA from 1 species
GAAGAACGCUGGCGGCAUGCCUAACACAUGCAAGUCGAACGAACAAGAGCCAAACUUCGGUUUGGAGUUCUGUUAGUGGCAUACGGGUGAGUAACACGUAGGAAUCUACCUUAUAGUAUGGAAUAACAGUUGGAAACGACUGCUAAUACCGUAUACGCUCUUCGGAGGAAAGAUUUAUCGCUAUAAGGUGAGCCUGCGCUAGAUUAGAUAGUUGGUAGGGUAAUGGCCUACCAAGUCUAUGAUCUAUAGCUGGUCUGAGAGGACGAUCAGCCACACUGGGACUGAGACACGGCCCAG